CGGAGAGGAGGCCUGACACAUUGCCUCCACUUCCAAGGAAGGCAGCAGGAGCGAAAAUUACCCAAUGACACUUCGUCGAAGUAGGGACGAGAAAUACCAGAGCUGGGUCCAAUUUGGAACAGUAUUUGGGAUGAGUACAAUAUAAAACCAUUAACGAGCAACUAUAAGAGGGCAAGUCUGGUGCCAGCAGCCGCGGUAAUUCCAGCUCUUAGUGUGAAUUUGGACGUUGCUGCAGUUAAAAAGCUCAUAGCCAAUUUUACAGGCAUGAGGUAUUUAUCUAUUCGAUCAGUCAAAUGAAAGGAUGGUAAAUGACUAAAAGCAAGAGAAUACUUCAGAGUCCCUGAGUCCGAGUAAUAUUGGACUCAGGACUGAUUGUCUUUUUCGAAGGACGAUCAGUUUUCUGGAGUGAGAUAUCUUUGAAUAAAUUAGAGUGUUCAAAACAAGCUUUUUAGCUUUGAAUAUAUUAGCAUGGUAAUAUGAAAUAUGACGAAUUCAGGUCAUAUAAAGUUCUGGGGGUCGAAAGAUCUCAAAGAAUCUGGAUUUGUAAUGAGAGAAAAAAAUAGAAUGAGUGACCUGUACUCUCAGGGGAAAGGUGAAAUUUUAUGAUCCUGAGAAGACAAACUAAUGCGAAAGCUCUCCACUGAGAUGUUUUUUUUAGUCAAGAACGAAAGCCCAGGGCGCGAAGAUGCUUAGAUACCAUCGUAGUCUGGACCGUAAACAAUGUUGAUUUAGGAUGUGUGAUUAUUAUUUUAUGACUUCAUACGCACUAUACGAGAAAUCCAGAAUAUUCGAACUCUGGGGGUAGUAUAGUCGCAAGACCGAAACUUAAAAGAAUUGACGGAAGAGCACCACAAGGCGUGGAACCUGCGGCUUAAUUUGACCCAACUCGGGAAAACUUACCAGGACAAGACGUAAAAAGGAUAGACAGAUUGAUAGCUCUUUCAUGAUAAUACGAAAGGUGGUGCAUGGCCGUUUUUAGUUGGUGGUUUGAAUUGUCUGGUUAAAUCCGAUAACGAACAAGACCUUUUCCUGCUAUUUAGCUGAGGAGGGUCUGAUACAAUUGGGGGGAGUUUUUUCGUCAAUGACUUCAGAAUCCCAUAACUUAGCUUCUUAGAGGUACGCUUUUUGUUUGUGAAAC
rnacentral:rRNA from 1 species